rnacentral:tRNA from 1 species
GAAUCGGUAGCUCAGUUGGUAGAGCAACGGCCUUUUAAGCCGUGGGUCGAGGGUUCGAGCCCCUCCCGAUUCACGA